CCCUUAGAUGUUCUGGGCCGCACGCGUGCUACACUGAGUGGAUCAGCGGGUCAGGUUGCGCGAAAGCGUUUCCUAAUCUUUAAAUCCGCUCGUGAUGGGGAUUGACGGUUGCAAUUUUCUGUCAUGAACGAGGAAUACCUUGUAAGCGCGGGUCAUCAUCCCGCGCUGAAUACGUCCCUGCCCUUUGUACACACCGCCCGUCGAUCCUACCGAUUGAGUGGUCCGGUGAGGCUUUGGGAUCUGAGCGGAAAGAGCGUUUCGCUGUUUCUGCUCGGAAAACUCAGUCGAACCUUAUCAUUUAGAGGAAGGAGAAGUCGUAACA
rnacentral:rRNA from 1 species